AUUGAACGCUGGCGGCAGGCCUAACACAUGCAAGUCGAGCGAGGCGCGGACGGGUGAGUAAUGUCUGGGACACUGCCCGAGGGCGGGGGAUAACCACUGGAAACGGUAGCUAAUACCGUAAUCCAUGGGAAGUGCCCAUAUGGGAUUAGCUAGUAGGUGGGGUAACGGCUCCCCUAGGCGACGAUCCCUAGCUGGUCUGAGAGGAUGACCAGCCACACUGGAACUGAGACACGGUCCAGACUCCUACGGGAGGCAGCAGUGGGGAAUAUUGCACAAUGGGCGCAAGCCUGAUGCAGCCAUGCCGCGUGUAUGAAGAAGGCCUUCGGGUUGUAAAGUACUUUCAGCGAGGAGGCGUUACUCGCAGAAGAAGCACCGGCUAACUCCGUGCCAGCAGCCGCGGUAAUUC
rnacentral:rRNA from 1 species